rnacentral:rRNA from 1 species
GACGAACGCUGGCGGCGUGCUUAACACAUGCAAGUCGAACGGAAAGGCCCUGCUUUUGUGGGGUGCUCGAGUGGCGAACGGGUGAGUAACACGUGAGUAACCUGCCCUUGACUUUGGGAUAACUUCAGGAAACUGGGGCUAAUACCGGAUAGGAGCUCCUGCUGCAUGGUGGGGGUUGGAAAGUUUCGGCGGUUGGGGAUGGACUCGCGGCUUAUCAGCUUGUUGGUGGGGUAGUGGCUUACCAAGGCUUUGACGGGUAGCCGGCCUGAGAGGGUGACCGGCCACAUUGGGACUGAGAUACGGCCCAGACUCCUACGGGAGGCAGCAGGGGGGAAUAUUGCACAAUGGGCGGGAGCCUGAUGCAGCAACGCCGCGUGCGGGAUGACGGCCUUCGGGUUGUAAACCGCUUUCGCCUGUGACGAAGCGUGAGUGACGGUAAUGGGUAAAGAAGCACCGGCUAACUACGUG